CCCCCGAUAGCUCAGUUGGAAGAGCGCGAGACUGUAAAUCUUGAGGUCGCUGGUUCGAUCCCGGCUCGUGGGA
rnacentral:tRNA from 1 species